rnacentral:lncRNA from 1 species
AUCCAGUCUCCUAAAGCCUCUGCCGUUUCUCUUCAUCCCUCAGAGCUCUUUUUUUGUGAGCAGUUUUUCUCCCCGAAGCUGUCCUUCACCCUGCUCCCUUCUUAUGCCCUCUCGGCUUAGCUCUCCAGCCAGCCAGUGAUUUAAAACAGACGAAGCAGGCUGGGUUCCUACCUAGAGGAUGUGAGCGCACACAAAUGCUUUGGAGACGUACUGUCAUGAGCCCAGGGCUUGGGGCUCACAUUGUGCUGGGAUUUUCUAAGGUCACAAGGGAAAGCAAAAAUGACACAGUAUGUUUUGGCACACAGCGACCGAGUGAGCAUCAGCGUUCUGCAAAGCAAGGCACUGCAGAAGCCUCUCCCAACUAGGAGUUCUCACCUAGCAAUAUUUCUGCAAGGAGUCACAGCAGAGGUAGAGGAGAGAAGAAGAAGUGUUUGCUCUUGUAGCAAUGCCUGCAAAGGAGACCAUGUGUUCAGGCAAGGUUGUGCAAGAGGAUGAUCUACCCUUUCACAGGCUUGCUUGUCUUUUAUUUUCAAGUUUGCAGGUCAAGAUCCUGGUAUCUCUCUGCAGGACUGGGAAAGAUCCAUGCCUGAAAAUUUGGAAAUCGGGCCCCAAGACCACCACUCAUAUAAGGCAGAUUAUAUUCCAAGGAUUCCGUUUAAAUCAACCCUUGAUUCAGAACCACGAUGAGGACUGGAGAGUCACUUGGACAGAGACCACCACUCAUAUAAGUCAGAUUAUAUUCCAACGAUUCUGUUUAAAUCAACCCUUGAUCCAGAAGCACGAUGAGGACUGGAGAGUCACUUGGACAUUUUAAAGAAAGACUGCUCCUUGAUUGAUCCUGGGCGUGAUCCUUCAUAUUUCCAGGCGGAGCUAAGAAAGAUCCAUGGCUGAAAUCCUGGAGCCCUGAUC